ACUGAACGCUGGCGGCAGGCCUAACACAUUCAAGUCGAGCGGAUGAAGGGAGCUUGCUCCUGGAUUCAGCGGCGGACGGGUGAGUAAUGCCUAGGAAUCUGCCUGGUAGUGGGGGAUAACGUCCGGAAACGGGCGCUAAUACCGCAUACGUCCUGAGGGAGAAAGUGGGGGAUCUUCGGACCUCACGCUAUCAGAUGAGCCUAGGUCGGAUUAGCUAGUUGGUGGGGUAAAGGCCUACCAAGGCGACGAUCCGUAACUGGUCUGAGAGGAUGAUCAGUCACACUGGAACUGAGACACGGUCCAGACUCCUACGGGAGGCAGCAGUGGGGAAUAUUGGACAAUGGGCGAAAGCCUGAUCCAGCCAUGCCGCGUGUGUGAAGAAGGUCUUCGGAUUGUAAAGCACUUUAAGUUGGGAGGAAGGGCAGUAAGUUAAUACCUUGCUGUUUUGACGUUACCAACAGAAUAAGCACCGGCUAACUUCGUG
rnacentral:rRNA from 1 species